UUUCCGUAGGUGAACCUGCGGAAGGAUCAUUGAAAAGGCCUCGUAAACGGAUAGCCCGAAAGAUGGUGAGUAACAUUUGUGUCCUUACUUGAAACGGGGAGAGAAAGCCACUGGUGACUAUUUUGUUGCCGCCGUGCCGGCCGCUGGUGGCAAACACCAGCUGCCGGUGCUUCACUUUUUCCUCUUUGUGGAUUUCCACUUUUGAUUUCUGCCUGAUGAACUGAGGGUGUGCCCUGUGCUCCCGAUAGAAACUUGUAGAUAACUUUUAACAAUGGAUCUCUUGGCUCUC
rnacentral:misc_RNA from 1 species